GACGAACGCUGGCGGCGUGCUUAACACAUGCAAGUCGAACGAAAAGAGGGAAAGAGCUUGCUCUUUCCGGAAUUGAGUGGCAAACGGGUGAGUAACACGUAAACAACCUGCCUUCAGGAUGGGGACAACAGACGGAAACGACUGCUAAUACCGAAUAAGUUCCAAGAGCCGCAUGGCCCAUGGAAGAAAAGGUGGCCUCUACCUGUAAGCUAUCGCCUGAAGAGGGGUUUGCGUCUGAUUAGCUGGUUGGAGGGGUAACGGCCCACCAAGGCGACGAUCAGUAGCCGGUCUGAGAGGAUGAACGGCCACACUGGAACUGAGACGCGGUCCAGACUCCUACGGGAGGCAGCAGUGGGGAAUCUUCCGCAAUGGGCGAAAGCCUGACGGAGCAACGCCGCGUGAGUGAUGACGGCCUUCGGGUUGUAAAACUCUGUGAUCCGGGACGAAAAGGCAGAGUGCGAAGAACAAACUGCAUUGACGGUACCGGAAAAGCAAGCCACGGCUAACUACGUG
rnacentral:rRNA from 1 species